GUCACUUCCUGCGCCGGUUAGCGACGGAGCCAAAUCCGCCGUUCCGGUCGCGUUUGGUGUAUCGGCCUUAGAUCCGGCUACUGGAAAUUGGACUCGGAUCAAACCCAUCAAAAAGUACCCAAACGGGCUGCCGCUGUUCUGCCGGCUGAUCGGCGUCGAUGGGAAAUUGGUGAUGAUCGGCGGGUGGGAUCCGGCGAGUUACCGGCCAGUGCAGGAUGUGUUCGUGUACGAAUUUGCGGCGGAGAAGUGGAGGCAAGGAAAGGGGAUGCCGGAGAAGAGGUCCUUUUUCGGCGCGGCAGAGUGUGGAGGCGAAAUUUUCGUAACCGGCGGGCACGACGAGGGGAAGAACGCGGCAGCGACGGCGUGGGCUUAUAAUAUUAGAAAUGACGAAUGGAGGGAGUUGCCGGCGAUGAGUGGCGGAAGAGACGAGUGCGAGGCUGUGGCGAUUGGAUCGGAGAUAUGGGUGGUGAGCGGAUAUGGGACUGAAAACCAGGGGAAUUUCGAAACAACGGCGGAGGUUUUUGACACAAAGACGGGGAAGUGGCGGCGCGUGGACAGCGCGUGGUGUGGGGACAUAAGUCCAAGAAGCGUGGUAGGAGUGGGGAGAGAAGGGGAAUUGUACAGCUGGGCAGCGGUAGCGGCGGCGGCGACGACGACGGGAGUGACGGCGGAGGGAAUUGUCGGAGUGAAUAUGGUGGAUAAGGCAAUAGUGUUCAUGGGGAAGAGUGGAAUUUUCAUGGGGGAAGGGCAAAAUGGUAAAUUCGAG
rnacentral:misc_RNA from 1 species